rnacentral:rRNA from 1 species
UAAUACGGAGGUGGCAAGCGUUACUCGGAAUUAUUGGGUGUAAAGGGCAAGUAGGUGGCUUGGUAAGUGAGAGGUGAAAUACUCCGGCUCAAUCGGAGAACUGCCUUUCAUACUGCCUUGCUUGAGGAUGACAGGGGGAAAGGGAAUUCCAGGUGUAAGGGUGAAAUCUGUAGAUAUCUGGAAGAACACCAGCGGCGAAGGCGCUUUCCUGGGUCACUCCUGACACUAAAUUGCGAAAGCUAGGGGAGCAAACAGAAUUAGAUACUCUGGUAGUCCUAGCCGUAAACGAUGAGCACUAGAUGUCGGGCCCGUCAGGGUUCGGUGUCGCAGCUAACGCAUUAAGUGCUCCACCUGAGGACUACGGUCGCAAGGCUA